rnacentral:lncRNA from 1 species
UACCUGCAAAUAAAUACAAAAACACCAGCACAGCAAAGAAAGAGGAGAAAAAAAACAAAACUUGUAUUUUCUUUUUCAUUUCUUUUUCUCCCUGUUUUCGGCUAUAAAAGUCGUAUAAUAGCGGUUGUAUUUUGGUUCUUUUUUUUUGAUGCAACAAAAACACGAAUACAAACACAGACAAUAUACGCAAUAGAAAAGCAAUAGACGAAUCGAAAGGUGAUUCAUUCACAAUCUCCCUCCCUUAUUUUCCUUUUCUUCUCUCAUUUUACCUUUUUUGAAUCGAAUGUAUGAAAAGAGAAACGAAACUUACCUGCGUUUGAUGUCUUCGAAUCCUCGCUUGCUUCGCUAUGAUUGAAACCAAGCGGUGAUUCGGGGUUCGUGAGCAAGGCAUGCGAAUCUUUCGGUUCGAUGAAGCCUGGAUUGACUCUUGAGUGAGUCGAAAGGAUAGGCAGGAGAACAGGCCUUUGAAAGGCUGAUUAAACGGCGAAGGGCGAAGGGCGAAGGCACCCUAGUUUUUUUUUUCUUUCUUGCUCUUUGAAAAUGGUUGCAGACCCUCUUAGGGUUUCUUUCGAUGGCCAUAAAGGGCCCUCCAAACGUCAUCGUUUUAGGCCGAAUUAAUGGCCUCAAAACGACUGUGUCCAAAGCUGCAGCUCAAUGACCCGACCCGCACACGCUCAAGAUCCGCGUGUCUUGUCACGGAUGGGCUAUUUUCGACGCAAGUCCCUCCCCUUUCGCGCCAUAUUUAAAUCAGCCCAUGUUCUUGCCUUGUUUGUUUUUAAUUUGACCCUGAUGAUUUACACUUAUUUGAAAAUGGACCCGCGCCUGAACGCAGCCUUUUGGGAUCUGGUAUAUUGCCAGUUUUAGUCCCUAGCUGUUUCCGUGCAUUGGCUAUUGGUCCUUCCAUUGUUUCUGUUUAUUUUCAAAUUUACCUUUUGUGUUUUAGUUUAAUUUUUAUUAGGUCUUUUUAUUUUAUAACUUUAUAAUCUUUUUCAUUUAUUUACUUGUAUAUUUUAAACAAUUUUGAUAAUCAUUUUUUUUAGUGUUGUAGAUUCGUUUUUUGUAAUAUUAUUAUCAUACUUUGUAUAUCUUAAAUGUUUAUUUCUUUCAUGUUAUUAGGCAUAUACAUGUUUUAUAAUAAUCCUAAUGCUUCAUACAUAUAAUGUUUUAUUCUAACUAUGUAUUUUAGCAUAUAUCUUGCCACGAUAAUACAUUUUGUUUAUACAUAUAUAUUUUGCAUAAAAUUAUUUUUCUAUUUGCUUAUAUUAGUACAUAUAUUCAGUUUAUAUAUUAUUAAAUCUAUACACAUUAUCAUUUCUUUAUAAAUUUGCAUGUGUUCUCUUUAAAAUUUAUAUAUACAUAUACACAUUAAUACACUUAUUACUUUAAUAGAUUUUUAUUUUAAAACACCUUUUGCUUUGUAAUUUACCAAAUAUUUUCUUUAUGUAUAUAUGAAAUAAUUUUAAAAGCUUUUUAAUUAUAAAAUUAUUAUUGUUAUAUUUUUGAAUAUUUCUUUAUAUUAUAUUGCUUUUGUGUUUUAUAUAGCCUAUUAUUUAAAUGUUUUGAUAUAAGGAUAUGUAUGGUUUUUAGACCAACCAAAAUUAUAUAUAUAUUAUUAAUCUCAUUCUUUUUAUAAAUUUAUAUGUACGUUUUUUUACAAGUCUAUUUUGGGCAUUAUGUUUUGUCAUGUAUUUUUCGUAUCAUAUUUAUUAUUAUUAUUAUUAUUAUUAUCAUAUAUUUUGUUAACUUCUAAAUAAAUUCGUGUUUAAAAUAUUUUACGUGUAAUUUGAUUCAAAUUUUUAUUCUAUAACAUCUAUUCCAAAAAUCAUAUAGCUACCCAUAGUUUUCAUGCAAAUUUGUCAACCUAUGUAUGGGUCCAUUUAUUCGUUAUUAUUUUAAAACCGUUUUAUAGUGCAUUGGCUUCUAAUUGCUAUGUUGUUUUUAUAUCUUGCAUUGGUUAUUCUAUAUCAUGCUAUGUAUAUCAUUGUGGCAUAUUAUUGUAUGUAUUGUUUUGUUUGUAUGACUGUUAUAUUAUAAUUUUCGUCAUUGUAUUAUUAUGUGAAUUAUCCUCCAUGCGCUAUUGUAAUCGGAUUGCAUUUUUAGGUUAGCUAUAUUUAAUUAUUAGUUUGCUAAUCGAUUGCAUCUCGUAUGUGCCGGUUUACCCCAUAUCAUCGUUUCACUUGAUUUUUGAAAUGUGGUUCUAUAAAACCCAAAUUUUAUGAUUAAUUUCGUCUUAUUUCAAAUAGAAUUAAUACGUCUUAAGCUAGCUUUAUAAUCAUUCAUUCAAAAAUUCUUCAAAGCGAAGACGAGAUUUGAUGUUUGGCAAUUCGCAGAAUCGUGCCCUAACGUGUUGGGUUGCAAUUUCGCGUUUGCUCAAAAUAAUCGAAUAUCACUUCAAAAUUUCACUCAUGUCUUUUAAAAAUCCCUUAAACGAAGGCGAUAUGUGAUAUUUGGCAAUCGUGGAAUCGUGCCCUAACGUGUUGGGUUGCAAUUUCCCAUUUGUUUAAAAUAAUCAAAUAUCCCUUCAAAAUUUCACUCAGGUCUUCUAAAAAUCCUUUAAAACGAAGGUAAUACUUGGUGUUUGACAAUUCGAGAAUUAUGCCCUAUCGUGCUGGGUUGUGAUUUCUCGUUUAUUCAAAACAAUCGAAUAUUCCUUUAGGUUUUCAUUCAUGUUUAUUAAAAACCUUUCAAAAUGAAGGCGAUGUUCGAUGUUUGGCGAUUUGAGAAUCGAGCCCUAUCGUGCUGGGUUGCGCUUUUUCAUUUGCUCAAAACAAUCGAAGAUCCCUUCGGAAUUUCACUCGUAUUUUCCAAGGUGAGGCAAUGUUCGAUGUUCAGAAAUUCGAGGAAUCGUGCCCUACUGUGCUGGGUUCGGUUUUUCUUUGGACCGAAUAGUUGGGCAUCAUUUUGUUAAUUUCAAAUUAUGGACUUUCGGUCGUCGAAACAAGAAGAUUUUUGGCAACCCACUCGGGUUAUUCAAACGUUAUUAACAAGAAUCACAUUUCAAAAACAUUUUUAAUUUUAGACAUAAGGACAGUAUUUAAUCGAUUUGGUACCAAUUUUAGGCGUAAUGAGGAUGCUAAUCCUUCCUCAUACGUAAUCGACUCCCGAGCCCUUUUUCUCAUAUUUUCAUAGACCAAAAUUAUCGUUUUAGUAAACCAAAAAUGUUUUAUUAAAAUAACUAAAUUCUUAGGUGACCCGACCACAUCAAAACAAAAGAAUUGGUGGUGACUCCAUGUAUUUGUUUUUCAAACGUCGAUUCCCCCAUUUUUUUUAAUUUUAAAAUUUUAAUUAUAAAAAAGGUAUGGUUUCGACAGCUUGGCGACUCCGCUGGGAACGUUUGAGAGUCGAGCCAUAAAAUUGAUUAUUUGCUGUCUUUUUGUCAAAAAACCAAAAAUUUGUUUUGAAAAUCGUGAUUGCAUUUGUUUGUGUAAUUGUUAUGGUUCGAUCUUGUAGGAUAAUGCUGCAUUUCAUUGCAUGACUGUUGUGGUCACACCUUCUAAGUAAGAGUAAGAAACUACACUUUCGUGAGGUUUUCACCUCUGCAUGGGCUAGUGGAUUGCUUCCGGGUUACAUCCGUACCUAUGAUUUUGUGAGAUUUUCAUCUCCGCAUGGUCAUAGGGAAAUGUAUCCCCCCGAACCAAACUCGAUCUAUAUGAGCCUACAAUGGGUGAGGAUUGAGGAAUCUGUUGGUUCGGGUACCUUAUCCCUAGAGCUAAACCACAUAUAGUGAACCUUAGGAGCUAUCCUCGGGUGGAGCCGCGCCAAGCUUUAGUACUUACCCAUAUAUGCGUUAUAAUUCAUGUGCUUGCAUUUUAUCGAUAUUAUCUGAUACUAACCUAUGUUUUGUUUUGAUUGUCCUUUUUUGCAUAACAUUGCAUAUUAAAGGAGGUGUUAAUCUGUAUUUAAUUACUAAGUUAGAAAGUUUGACAUGGAGAAUGAAUUUCUUAGUAAAGUCGAGGAUAAUGCGGUCGUUCGUGCAUGGUCAGAGAAGCUACAAUCAGAUAGAGGAGAUAGCUUGAUAGAAGGACCUAUCUCCGAGUUGCAGGAUUUCACUCGCAUCAAUGUAGCACAAAAUGAGCUGCAAGAGUUGAAAGAUAUUUGGGCCAGUUGGGAUGAAGGGAUCAAGCAGUUGUUCUAUCAAAGCUACGGUGAUAUAUCCUACUUGCUAGACAUUAGAGUGGACAAGCAUCUAUUUCGGGUUAUAGUACAGUUUUGGAAUUCUGCGUACAAGUGUUUCACUUUUGGAGAAGUGGAUUUAGUACCUACCGUGGAGGAAUACACUACUUUGCUCAGGUGUCCAAAAAUUCAGGUCGGGAAGACUUAUGCCCGGGUUUUUAGUAGUCAGACUUUCAUGAAAAAAUUGAUGAGCAUUUCUGGGAUGAGCGAGCCUUGGGUCACUGCUUGGAUUCAGCAAAAAGGAGAUAGUAAGUGCAUCCUUUGGGAGAAUUUGCGAGAUUUGAUUUUGACACAUCCAGAUGAAAGAAAGAGGGUUGAUAUCUUUGCCUUAAGCAUCUACGGAUUGGUGAUUUUUCCUAAGGCUUUGAGGCACAUGGAUGAGGCAGUCAUUGACUUAUUCGAUCGCCUUGAGAAGGGAAUCAUGCCGGUACCAGUGAUAUUGGCAAAAAUGUUUAGAUCUUUGAGCUCAUGUCAGAAGACGGGCAAAGGACGGUUCAUCGGAUGUGUUCAAUUAUUGAUGGCAUGGUUUCACGGACACUUUUGGAAGGUAGACAAGGUUUCCUAUCAGGUAUUUUCUGAGGGUUAUUCCCCCUUAAAAGAAGAGGCAGCUAUACAAAGGAGAGAGGAUAUCUCGGAGGAGAAGUAGAUGGACAUUCUUCAGAACCUUAAAGAGGGGGAUAUCGAGUGGAGAGCUUAUUGGAUAGUUCUUGACGAGAUCAUGCACCGAUGUGGUAACUUCGAUUGGGUGCCAUUGUUAGGAAUUUAAGGAGCUACCGGCUAUACUCCAUUACUUGCGUUAAGGCAAUAUAAGUCAAGGCAGUUUGUACCCACGACCUAUGGACUUGCUUAGAGUGAAUUCUCAUUCAAAGCUGCUCAUUAUAAGAAGAGAGUUCGAGAGUUAUCGAAUGCUUGGAAGCAAACUUGUUGGAUAAAGAGGUUAGCUAUUGGUUCCAUGGUAACGCCCAAGUAUAUCGAGUGGUUUAAGAAUAGGGUUAAUGGUAAUGUUCCUAGGCCAAGCUUGGAGGAUGCUCGACUUAUCGUGGAACAAUUACAAGUCCCCCAGUCAGAAUUGGAGAUUAUAAGGCAAGAUUUCAAGAAGAAGAGUUCGGAGCUUGGGAAGAAGAUCGAACAAUUGGAGGAAGAAAAGAUGCACUUAAAAUUGGAUGUUGAUGUCCAGAGGUUAGAGGCUGAAAAAUGAAGAAAAGGAAAAACUAAGGCCGAAGAAGAUUUAGACAGCUUGAAGACGGACUACAAGAAGCUACGCCUAUCUAUGAGGACUGCGGGUUUAGGUAAGACUUCCGAACAAUGACGCCAUGAAAUUCGAGAAGAAAAACCCAAUACCGAUCGGUGGGAAAGGAAAUUCCGAUAAGCUCAGGCACGAAACAAAGAUUUAGAGAAGAGUCUGUUGGAAAACAGAAAUGAGCGAGGUGAAUUAAGGGCUAGAGUGGUGGAACUCGAGAAGUCUCUGCAUCAUUACCGAAACCGCAACACCGUAAUGGAAUUGAGGGCAAGCUUGAGCAAGAUAGAAGAAAUGAAAGGAAAAAUAGAAGAGUUAGAGGCGUCACUGUAAAACUGUGAAAUGCGGAUCCAGUUUUUUGAGGCAAACGAGGAUCGUUGGAAAGAACAGCUUCACCAUGCACAAGACCAAGUCAGAAACAGAGAUUACCUUAUGGGGGAAGCCAUAACCUAGAUUAGGGAGGUAGCUGAUUACUUACAAACUUUAGCGGUUCAGGCAGACACACUGAGCGUGAAGUAUAAGUUGGAGUCAGAUCGCGGACAAGAGCUGGCCUCGUUGCUUAGAAAAAUUAGCACUUUGAGUGUUAGAGCGAAAUUUUAUUUGUAACUCAAUUUUACGUAAAAGAUUUUAUUUUCAAGUGAAAUUUUCUAAAGGCAAUUGAAUCAAAAUUGAUGCCUCCUUUGCAUUCAUGCAUUUGCAUUACAUCAUAUCAUUAUGCAUUAAAGGCCAUAAGAGUUUUCUAAUAAAUUAAAAAUUAUUUCAGUAACCUGGAAACCAACGAAAACCAACCAACCAUGCACCCCUACGGUACAAGAAAAAAAUCAAUGGAUAAGAGACUCGAGAAAUUGGAGCAAAUGCAAAAGGACAUGCAGGAACAAAUGCAGUCUCAGAUGCAAAAGCAGCUAGCCAAGAUUCAGCGAGAGAUAAAAGAGAAAAUGAUGGAGUCCUAGAGGGAAAUGAUGAGUCAGUUAUCCCAAUUGUUGUUGGGAGGAACAGAUAAGGGAAAGGGCCCCAUGGAUAAAGUCGAGAAAACUAAUGAAGAUCCUCAACACCCCCUGGCUUUACUCCGACACAUGUACCGAUGAAGCCCGAGAUUAAUCUACCGAAACCAUCUGUCACGAUCAUGCCCCAGCAGGUUCAGGCUGGAGCUUCAAUACCGAUGAAUUUCCAAACCGUCUCAGGCUCUAACUUUGUCAACAACCCGAACUAUCCGCCCAUUCCCGAUUUGGACGAAAUUGUUGAAGAAGAAAAGGCAAUGAUAGAUUCGCAAAAAUAGUUGGAAGAACGGUGUAGAUGGCUUGAGGAGAAAUUCAAAGCCAUAGAGAGCGCGGAUCAUCAUCAAGGGAUUGAUGCCAAGGACCUGAGUUUGGUCCCAGAUUUAGUUCUUCCCCUUAAAUUCAAAAUACUCGAAUUCGAGAAAUACAAUGGAACAAGUUGCCCUGAAGCUCAUAUCACUAUGUUUUGCAGGCGAAUGACGGGAUAUGUUAACAAUGACCAGCUAUUAAUCCACUGCUUUCAAGAUAGUCUGGUCGGGGAGGCGUCUAAGUGGUACAACCAAUUAAGCCGCUCUAAAAUUAACUCAUGGAAGGACCUGGCUCAGGCCUUUAUGAAACAAUACAAUCACGUGACGGACAUGACCCCUGACAGAAUCACUCUCCAGAAUAUGGAGAAAAAGUCAAAUGAAAGCUUCAAAUAGUAUGCACAAAGGUGGAGAGAAGUGGCCAUACAAGUUCAGCCACCGCUUCUAGAAAAAGAGACGACAAUGCUCUUUAUCAACACCUUGAAAGCCCCUUUUAUCACUCAUAUAUUGGGAAGUGCCACAAAGAGCUUCUCCGACAUAGUGAUGACGAGGCAAAUGAUCGAAAAUGCUAUGAGGAGUAGCAAGAUAGAAUCAGGAGAGAGUGCUAGGAAGUCGGCUCCGAGGAAAAGAGAUAAUGAAGUGAACAACACGAGCACAUUCAACAAGGGGCAGUCCAAGUCAUUUACCGUAAAUCAACCCAAAACAGUGACCACCAAUCAACAAAGCUCUGUAAGACAAGAAUCCAAUGCAAGGAAGAACACAGAAAAGCCACAAUUCACCCCUAUACCCAUGACGUAUAGGGAGUUGCACCAGAACCUGUUCAACACUCAUGUGGUGUCCCCUUUCUACUUGGAGCCACUGCAGCCCUUGUAUUCCAAAUGGUAUGACACAAACGCCCAAUGUGAAUACCAUUCGGGAAUUACCGAGCACUUAAUCAAAAAUUGCACUGCGUUUAAGAAAGUAGUCGAAAGACUCAUUAAGGUGGGGAUCGUGAGAUUUGAUGACCCAGCCACACCCAAUGUAGCAGGAAACCCACUCCCCAAUCAUACCGAUCAAGGAGUGAAUGGGAUAAGUGAAGGUAGGAACAAGGAGACCAAGUAUGAUGUGGCAGAAUUCAAGACCCCGUUGAGGCGGGUAUGGAAGGAGAUGGCCAAGAGAGGAUUGAUUGCUUUGGAUUCGAGGGAAGAAUCCGAAGAAGAGAGAAACUACUGUGAGUUUCACGAUGAGGUGGGGCAUGAAAUCCAAGAUUGCGUGGGGUUCAAAGCCUUAGUGUAAAAUAUGAUGAACAAUAAGGAAAUUGAGUUUUAUGAAGAAGCCAAAAACCCCGUAGAGGGAGAUAUAUGCGCAUCGGAGGGAGAAUCGACUGCACAGAAUCGAACAUCUAACUAUCCUAUGGUGAUCAUUUCGAGACCCAAAAAUAAUGAAGCUGGAGUACAAAUGCCACUAAGGGUCAUAAUCCAAAGGCCGGCAGUCUUCCCCUACAAAGACAGCAAAAAGUUCCCAUGAAAUUAUGAGUGCAGUGUGACGAUACCGGGAAAGAAGAGCCCGGUUGACGCUUCAAAAAGGGACCAAGAUAGGGGCUCCUAUACACGUAGUGGGAGACGUUACGAUACAAUAAAUGAGGAGGCACAACCCACAAAACCAAAAGCCCUAGUGGUCGAGGAAACGAAGGAAAAUGCAACCAAACCUGUUAACGAGCCAGUUAACGAAGAGGGGGCCAAGGAGUUUUUAAAAUUCCUAAAGCAUAGCGAAUACAGUGUGGUAGAAUAGCUACAUAAACAACCAGCCCAUAUCUCAGUGCUGGCCUUACUUCUAAGCUCGGAAGUUCAUCGUAGCGCGCUGAUGAAGGUCUUGAAUGAAACAUACGUUGCCAAUGAUAUCUCCGUUAACAAGUUGGACCGCUUGGUUAGCAACAUCAGUUCCGACAACUAUAUCUUUUUCAAUGACGAUGAGAUUCCACCCGGGGGCAUGGGGUCGAUUAAAGCUUUGCAUAUCACCACGCGCUGUAAAGGGUAUAUGUUGCCAGGCGUACUAAUUGACAAUGGGUCAGCUUUGAACAUCUUGCCAUUAACCACGUUAAAUAGGUUACCUAUAAACAGUUCUCACAUGAAGGAGUGCUAGAACAUCGUGAAGGUAUUCGAUAGUACGGAGAGGAAAGUGAUGGACAGAAUCGAGGUACCUCUUCAGAUCGGGCCAAACACAUAUGAGGUUGAUUUCUUCGUGAUAGAUAUCAAGCCCUCAUAUAAUUACUUAUUGAGGGGCCCUGGAUACAUUCAGCUGGGGCAGUGCCUUCCUCGUUGCAUCAAAAAUUGAAGCUGGUAUCGGAGGGGAGGUUGAUAACGAUCAAUGCCGAAGAGGAUAUCAUUGCAACUGUGAGCAAUAAUGCGCCCUAUUUGGAGACAGAUGACGAAGCAAUCGAAUGUUCAUUUCGAUCUUUGGAAUUUGUUAACGCGACCUUCAUCGCUAAGGGAAGCAAGAUUCUGGUGCCAAAAUUGUCCAAAACCACGAGGAUAAGCCUACAGUUAACUAUUGGAAAAGGGGCCCUACCCAGAAGAGAACUUGGGAGGCAUCUACAAGGAAGGAUGGAAACGCCAACACUGAAGGACAAGAGAGACCGCUUUGGCUUAGGAUUUAAGCCGAAUGCAAAACAAAGGAGAAGGGAGCUGGAAAGAAGCAAGCGAGAAGGAGAGCACAGUUAACGGGGGAGGAAAUCAAAUGGGAACCAAUGAUAUUCCCCCAUAUAUCGAAAACGUUUGUGUCCAAGAGAAUCAUUCACCCCGAGAGAGACACGCCAAUAAUGGGAGCCAUAGGAGAAAGGCUAGAAAGCUUGGACAUCAACACCACGUACGAAGAGGAGACUGGAAGAGAAAGUUUGUCGGGCAUUUGCCCCUACCUACCUGGAAGUGUUCUGGAUAACUGGACUGCAGAAGAGAUUCAUGUAGUUUUUAGAACUGAUUCAGAGUAUUGUCCAAAACACACUUAUUGCUCUAGGCUUAGGAGUAAUAAGAAUCUUUUGUGAAAUAGGUUGAUGUUUAAAAAUGUUAUUUCAAUAAAAUGCACGGUUAUUAUCAUUUUUGAGCAAAUGUUCUCUCAUCCUUUCAAUUCCAUCAAUAAUCAUACAAAUGAUUACUUUCAGAUUCUUUAUUCUUUAAACAGUCCAAAUAUUCUUUCAUUCGUCAUUCAUAAUCAUACCACACAAAUAAAUGUUUUGAAUUCUUUUAAUUCUUUGUAUCUACCUUGAUCCUCAUAACAGGUCCCCAGAUAUCAAUGAUAUGAGUGACACUACUAGUGACUUACGAUCCCCUUUUGAGUGAGAUGUGUGUAUGGAGGAUUAUCAAGAUUUUAAGGAUGACCAAGGCUAUAAACUAUCUCCUGAUUUGUUGAGAAUGGUAGAAAAAGACGAGAAACAAAUCCUACCCCACAAGGAAUCGGUAGAAAUUGUAAGCGUAGGAGAAGGGCAAGACGUGAAGAUCGGAACAUGUAUCACCAUGGAGAUGAAGCGAGACAUUAUUAAAUUACUUCAAGAAUUCAAAGAUGUCUUCGCAUGGUCAUACCAAGAUAUGCCUGGGUUGGACACUGAUAUCGUGGUGCACCGACUUCCCAUAAAGGAAGAAUGUAAGCCAGUUCAACAAAAACUCCGAAGAAUGAGGCCCGAUGUCUUGCUAAAAAUAAAAAAAGAGGUUCGAAAGUAGUUUAACGCUGAAUUCCUGAAGGUGGUAAAAUACUUAGAUUGGGUAGCCAACAUCGUCCUUGUCCCUAAGAAAGAUAGAAAAGUACGAAUGUGUGUAGACUAUAGAGAUUUGAAUAAAGCCAGCCCGAAGGAUAAUUUUCCCCUGCCUCAUAUCGACACCCUAGUGGAUAGCACGGCAGGACACUCACUGUUUUCAUUCAUGGAUGGUUUCUCCGGAUAUAACCAGAUUAAGAUGCAUCCUGAAGAUAUGAAGUAGACCAUAUUUGUAACCAUGUGGGGUAUGUUUUGCUAUAAGGUGAUGCCGUUUGGACUGAAGAAUAUCGGGGCAACAUAUCAAAGAGCCAUGGUAACCCUGUUCCACUACAUGAUGUAUAAGGAAAUCGAGGUUUAUGUCGAUGAUAUGAUCACAAAGUCUUGAACAGAGAGGGAGCACAUACAAGUCCUGAGAAAAUUGUUCUUGAGAUUGAAGAAGUUCUAGCUAAAACUCAACCCAGCCAAAUGUACAUUUGGAGCCAAGUCUGGAAAGUUGCUCGGAUUCGUGGUCAGUGAGAAAGGAAUUGAGAUCGAUCCAGACAAAGUUAAAUCCAUACAAGAGUUAUCUCCACCACGUACCCAGAAAGAGGUUCGAGGCUUUCUAGGAAGAUUAAAUUACAUCGAUCGGUUCAUUUCACAACUGACCGAGAAAUGUGACCUUGUCUUUUGCCUCCUCAAGAAACACAACCCAGGUGAAUGGGAUGAAGAAUUCCAAAGGGCUUUCGACAAGGUCAAACAGUACUUAUCCAAUGCUCCAGUGCUAGUGCCACCUAACCCCGAAAAGCCAUUGAUACUGUAUCUGGCAGUAUUUGAGAAUUCUAUGGGAUGCGUACUGGGUCAGCAUGAUGAGUCAGGAAAGAAGGAAAAAGCUAUUUACUAUCUUAGUAAAAAGUUCACGGAAUGUGAGACAAGGUACCCACCGAUAGAGAAGUUGUGUUGCGCCCUAAUUUGGACAACCCGAAGGCUGAGGCAGUAUAUGUUGUAUCACACCACUUGGCUCAUAUCAAAAUUAGACCCUUUAAAGUAUAUGAUUGAGUCAACAGCUUUGAAGGGAAGAAUGACCCGAUAGCAGAUUUUGCUCUCUAAAUUCGACAUAGUUUAUGUGAACCAGAAAGCCGUAAAAGGGAGUGCAAUAGCAGAUUUUUUGGCUAGUAGAGCUUUGGAAGACUACGACCCUUUGAACUUCGAUUUCCCGAACGAGGAUCUGAUGUGUGUUGCGACCACUGAAGAAGGUGCUCUGGAAGAACUUCUCUGGAAACUGAACUUCGAUGGGGCGUCAAAUACCGUGGGUAAUGGAAUAGGAGCAGUCUUAGAAUCCCCAAACGGAGAUCAUUAUCAAUUACUAGCAAAUUGGAUUUUGAUUAUACGAAUAACAUGGCAGAAUACGAGGCAUGCAUCAUGGGUAUCCGUACAGCCAUAAAACACAAGAUUAAAGCACUAGAGGUUUAUGAGGAUUCCGCGCUAGUAAUUUAUCAACUCAAGGGAGAAUGGGAGAUCAGAGACCCUAAGUUGAUUGACUAUCGGAAACUGGUCCUUGAAUUGGUUAAAGAGUUCGAUGACAUUACCUUUUGCUACCUUCCACGAGACGAAAAUUAAAUGGCUGACGCUUUGGCUACCUUAGCUUCCAUGAUCAAGGUGAACAAACAAGAAGACGUCAAACCCAUCCAGAUGAGCAUUUAUGAAACUCUGGCUCUCUGUUACAAUAUUGAAGAAGAUGAGGAGAAAGAUGAUCACCCUUGGUAUCACGAUAUAUUGCAAUACGUGAAGAAUCGUGAAUACCUAGACCAGGUGAGCGAUAAUGACAAAAGAACGCUAAGAAGAUUAGCCAUCGACUAUGUCUUAGAUGGGGAUAUCCUAUACAAAAGAAGAAAGGAUCAAGUGCUAUUAAGAUGUGUAGACGCUGUAGAGGCUAAGAAAAUUUUGGAAGAAGUCCAUGAAGGCGUCUGUGAGACACACGCUAAUGGCUUUACAAUGGCCAAGCAAAUUAUGAGAUUCGGGUAUUAUUGGUCCACCAUGGAAGGAGACUGUGUCAAUUACGCCAAGAGAUGCCAUAAGUGCCAAGUCUAUGGAGACAAAAUUCAUGUGCCUCCUUCACCGCUGUAUGUCAUGGUUUCUCCAUGGCCAUUCUCUAUGUGGGGCAUGGAUGUGAUUGGACCAAUAUCACCGAAAGCUUCCAAUGGGCAUCGGUUCAUCUUUGUGGUUAUCGACUACUUCACCAACUGGGUAGAAGCCGCUUCGUAUGCUAGUGUUACAAAGUCAGCAGUAAGCAAGUUCCUGAAAAAAGAGAUCAUAUGUCGAUACGGAAUACCGGAGAGGAUCAUCUCUGACAAUUCAUUAAACCUGAACAAUAGUAUGAUAGCGGAGGUCUGCAGUCAAUUUAAGAUCAGACAUCACAACUCGUCACCAUAUCGCCUGAAGAUGAAUGGAGCAGUGGAAGCAGCCAAUAAAAAUAUUAAGAAGAUCGUGGGAAAGAUAACCGAGACCUACAAAGGUUGGCAUGAGAAAUUACCAUUUUCCCUCUUUGCUUAUCGAACAUCGGUCAGAACCUCAACUGGGGCAACGCCUUUCUCCCUGGUCUACAGAAUAGAAGCAGUUUUGCCCAUCGAAGUCGAGAUCCCAUCCCUCCGAGUGUUGUCAGAACUAAAAUUUGAUAAAGCAGAGUGGGUCCAGUCUCGAUAUGACCAAUUGAACUUGAUUGAGGAAAAGAGGCUAAAAGCUAUUCGUCAUGGUCAGAUGUACCAAAAGCGAAUGAUGCGGGCUUAUGACAAAAAGGUUCGCCCUAGAGAAUUCCACGAGGGAGACUUGGUUUUGAAAAAGAUCCUUCCCAUACAGAAGGAUUUUCGAGGGAAAUGGAUGCCUAAUUGGGAAGGGCCUUAUGUGGUGAAGAAAGCUUUCUCCGGAGGAGCAUUUAUUCUAACCGAGAUGGACGGUAGAAACUUGCCCAUUCCUGUAAACUCAGAUUCAGUCAAGAAGUAUUUUACAUGAAGAAAGAGAGGCCAGAGUGAAAACCCACAAAGGGCGCUCUGAAAUCUGAAAAAAAAAAGAAAAAACAAAGAGGUCAAGGUGAAAACCUAUAAAGGGCACUUUGAGACCAUAGGGGCUUUUGAGUUGAAAACCCGAAAACGGGCAGCUCAAAUUUUAAAUAUGGGGCAUAUGGUAGUCUUGUCCUCUUGAAAUCAGCAAUACAGAAGAACAGUACACCUUGGAGCAUCGACAAAAUACACAGGAUCUCCUGAAUACACAUUUGGUUCGAAGGAACCUUUAAGAAAUUGGAAUAGUGAAACUCGUGCUACGAUGUCUGGGGCACCUCUUUUCUCAUUUUUAUUUUGUGCUUUAGCAGAUUUUCUAUCCUAUUUGAUGUAUUCACUUCGAGUUUUACUCAAUAAAAUUCUGUUUUAUCCAUUAUGAUAAUCUCCUUUGAGCAUUUUUGUUGAAAUCGCGAUUUUUGAACAUGUAAUAUUCACACAAAAGAUGUUAUGCAUAUUACUCUGGAAAGUCUCUAAAUAGUACAAGAACCUGAAACAGGGCCGCUAGUCAAGACUAACCAGGUUCAAAGUUAGAAAACAUUGAGAAAAGAGUAGUCCAAAUUAUGACUAUUUCUUCAAAAUUUCUGUCAGAGAUAAUGGCUAAGCAAGAAGACGUGAUAGCACAUCAAUGAUGGAACCCGGACGAAUUAUGAGUAAUGAUACUUUAAGCGUUUAAAAAGGAAUCACUAUCAUAACAUUUCUACAUUUAUAAUUAUUCAUUUAGUUCGGAGCACUUGAUUCAUUUUGAUCAUAGCAUUCUAAUUACUUGACAUAAACACCACGUAUAGUCAGGGGCAUUAGAUUCAUUUUGAUCAUGGCACCCUAAUUAUUUGGCAUACAUAGAUACAGGAAACCAAUUCUACAAAUCAUGUCUUUAGAAGACGGUGUAGCAAUAUUGGUGAAUCCUACAGAUCUUGUUUCCUUGAAGUUGCAGUGAAGCAGAUCGAAGACGGUGAAUCUUGGCUUCCUGAAGUUGCAGUGAAGCAGAUUUAAGCCACCAACCUAGCUCCCAAAAAGUUAUAGUGGAGUAGGCUGAAAUUUUAGGUCUUGUUUCCCUGGAGUUGCAGUAAAGCAAAUCGAAGACGGUGAAUCUUGGCUUCUUGAAGUUGCAAUGAAGCAGAUUUAAGUCACCAACCUAGCUCCCUAAAGUUGUAGUGGAGUAGGCUAAAAUUUUAGGUCUUGUUUCCCUGAAGUUGCAGUGAAGCAGAUCGAAAACGGCGAAUCUUGGCUUCCUGAAGUUGCAGUGAAGCAGAUUUAAGCCACCAACCUAGCUCCCUAAAGUUGUAGUGGAGUAGGCUGAAAUUUUAGGUCUUGUUUCCCUGAAGUUGCAGUGAAGCAAAUCAAAGACGACGAAUCUUGGCUUCCUGAAGUUGCAGUGAAACAGAUUUAAGUCACCAACCUAGCUCCCUAAAGUUGUAGUGGAGUAGGUUGAAAUUUUAGGCCUUGUUUCCCUGAAGUUGCAGUGAAGCAGAUCGGAGACGACAAAUCUUGGCUUUCUGAAGUUGCAGUGAGGUAGAUUUAAGCUACCAACCUAGCUCCCUAAAGUUGUAGUGGAGUAGGUUGAGAUUGCAGAUCUUGUUUCCCUAAAAUCGUAGUGGAGCAGAUCGAAGACGGUGAAUCUAGGCUUCCUGAAGUUGCAGUGAAGCAGAUUUAAGCCACCAACCUAGCUCCCUAAAGUUGUAGUGGAGUAGGCUGAAAUUUUAGGUCUUGUUUCCCUAAAGUUGCAGUGAAGCAGAUCGAAGACGGUGAAUCUUGGCUUCCUGAAGUUGCAGUGAAGCAGAUUUAAGUCAUCAACCUAGCUCCCUAAAGUUGUAGUGGAGUAGGUUGAAAUUUUAGGCCUUGUUUCCCUGAAGUUGCAGUGAAGCAAAUCGAAGACGACAAAUCUUGGCUUUCUGAAGUUGCAGUGAGGUAGAUUUAAGCCACCAACCUAGCUCCCUAAAGCUGUAGUGGAGUAGGUUGAGAUUGCAGAUCUUAUUUCCCUGAAAUAGCAGUGGAGCAGAUCGAAGACGGUGAAUCUAGGCUUUCUGAAGUUGCAGUGAAGUAGAUUUAAGCCACCAACCUAGCUCCCUAAAGUUGUAGUGGAGUAGGCUGAAGAUUGUAGAUCUCGUCUCCAAUGGAGCAGAUCGAAGUCACAAUCCUUAUCUCUCUGAAGUUGCAGUAGAGUAGGGUAAAAACACACGAACCAUGUCUCCCUGAAGUUGCAGUGGAGCAUAUUGAAGCUACUUGAAGAAAAGAAGAACCAAGAAGUCGAAACUCAGCAGGUCUUGGCAAAAUUGGCCCAUUUAUAGUCUUUGCUCUAUUCUCGUUCCACGACAAUGAGCAAAGAGGGCCAGCUGUAGUGGGCCAAAUUUGCCUGGCCCGUAUAAAGACAAAAAAAAUUAAAACAAUAAUAAAUAAUAAAAAACCCACUGUCCAUUACAGCCCAAUUACAAAAAAAUAAGCCCAAACCAACCCAUUUAAAACCGGACCCAAACUUACAAGGCCCGAUAGGCCCAUUGCUUUUAGAACAGGCAGAACCCUAGGGUUCCUUUUUCUCUAGCGCCGCAGCCGAUCCCAGCCUCCACGCCUCCAACAGCUACUCCACACCCCGUACUCGAGCACCAGCACACGGCCCUCGUACGCCAUGCCCGUACCUCCGUACAAUGCCAGUGGACUUCGUACCUGCAUACAAAUAUAAAAACACCAGCACAUCAAAGAAAGAGGAGAAAAGAAACAAAACUUGUAUUUUCUUUUUCAUUUUUUUUUCUCUCUGUUUUCGGCUAUAAAAGCCGUAGAAUAGCGGUUGUAUUUUGGUUCCUUUUUUUUGACGCAAGAAAAACACGAAUACAAACACAGACAAUAUACGCAAUAGAAAAGCAAUAGACGAAUCGAAAGGUGAUUCAUUCACAAUCUCCCUCCCUUAUUUUCCUUUUCUUCUCUCAUUUUACCUUUUUUGAAUCGAAUGUAUGAAAAGAGAAACGAAACUUACCUGCGUUUGAUGUCUUCGAAUCCUCGCUUGCUUCGCUACGAUUGAAACCAAGCGGUGAUUCGGGGUUCGUGAGCAAGACAUGCGAAUCUUUCGGUUCGAUUGAGCCUGGAUUGACUCUUGAGUGAGUCGAAAGGAUAGGCAGGAGAACAGGCCUUCGAAAGGCUGAUUAAACGGCGAAGGGCGAAGGCACCCUAGUUUUUUUUCUUUCUUGCUCUUUGAAA